UAGAGUUCAAAUGCCUGUUUAAGUUGCGGGGAGAAGGGUGAAGAAGAAGGAGCAGACGGACUGGAUUUUUUAUACAUUGAUGAAUACAACAAAUCGAACCUAAAAAAGCAACAUAAAUAUUAUUCACAAGUUACGACACAAAUGGCUUUAACUGGAGGGAAAAGGUGCUAUUUUGUCGUGUGGAGUCCGAGAAGGGAACCACUUAUCGAACAAGUCAAAGUUGAAGAAAGACACUGGUCAGACCUGGAAAGAAAUGCUUUUCUUUUUUUCAACGGGUAUGUGGUUCCAGUGCUUCUGGAAAGAAAGCAGAUUUAUUACUGCCCCGAAAGGGAGAGGAGAAACCAUGCUUGGAGAAAGAAGAGACACUGGACAAAUCAGAAAACAGUAUUAAGUGCACUGAGUGUUCAUUUGGUACCAUUUGGUUUGUGUUGGAAUUACAAGAGACAGGGAGCGAUAUUGGAUUUGUGAGAGGUGCCUGUUAUUGUCAGUUUUGCCGUAUGAAAACGUAUCCAUUAUAGACGAUAGUGACAAAUCACAAUUAACUAUACCAUGACUUGAUUUAUAUAAUAUGCCACUUUGUUCCUGCCCUGAUUUGAAAAUGUUUGCAUAUCCUUGUAAAUUUUUUUUGCAAUAUUUGUCAAGUAUCCUUCAUGGUCCUGGGAUGCCUUGCCCUCUGCAUACUUCUGGACCAGCAGAACCCACAGUCAGAGAGCUCAUUGACGAUAACAAUUCCCUUAUUUCAAAACUGCACACAAAGCUCUAGGAGAUAAAAUCUUUGAUUUACAAAGAAGCACCAGCUGUGAAGGGCAUUCAUCUUCGACAAGUUACACCAAAGAAGAAACCUAUAAAGAAAAUGAAAAGUUUAAUUAAAGGAAACAGAGAAAGAGGCUAAAGAAAGACUUGCCACAUCACCAUAGACAAGUCUGAAGCUUUUUUAAGGAGGAUGUAGUAGAUAAUAUUGUAAGCGGCAAUCAAGAACAACUAGGUUCUACAAUUUUUUGUAACAUCAGUUGACAGAGCUACAGCAGGAGACAAUUGAACAGAUUUUGUUGAAAAAAAUACAAAAUUUUUUGUUGGAAGGCAGCGACUGAACAAACAUGACUUUAAAAAGAUAUCAGAGAAUGGCAUGCUUAAUAACUCAAUAAUCAAUGUAUUCCAAAUUCUGAUGCUGAAGGAACACCCUGAGUCAAAUGAUUUACAAGACCCUUUUCUUGGGCAAAACAUGUUUUUUACUGUACACCACGACAAACUUUUUGUUCAAAUCCUCUAUGAUGGAAAACUACAUUGGAUUGCUGUUUCAACAUAUGUAUGUGGGCCUGGGAAGGUCUUCUACUUCGACCGUUUGUGUUCUCUGGUAGAAUAUCUGAAAAAGUUAAUCAACUAUUAGGUGCAGUCAUGCAUUCUUCAAGGUCAAUUUUGAAAAUAAAUGUUGUCCCAGUUCAACAGCAAUCAAAUAGAGUGGGCUGUGAUGCAAAUGCCAUUGCCUUUACAAAUUACGUUCUAAAGGAAAAGAGAAAUCCCACUGAGGUGACAUUUGACCAAGAGACAAUGAAGCAUAAUCUAUUAAGGUCCUUAGCAGCAAAAACAAUGCUUCCCUUUCCGACAACAACAAGAACUAUAAGAAGAUGCUGCACAAAAACGAUUUCAUUUGACGUAUAUUGUUCUUGUAUAAUGCGCUGGGUACCAUUCCACAACAACAUUUUUGAAAGGUAAAUUAAUUACACAUUUACUCGCAAUCAUUCAAUUUUAAAAAACUUGUCAAUUUCCUCUCUAAGAUAUUAAAAUGUCUUAUUUUAGAUGUGUAUUUGAAUUCGUGAAUCCAAAAAUAAAAUUAUGUUGAACUUGCUUUAUUUCAACAAAGAUAUUCUGUUGCCUUUAGAGAAAUAUUAAGCAGUUCCAUAAAAAUUGCUAAAAAUAUUUUUUAAAAAUUGUUUUGCAUUUUAGACACAUUUGAAAGGUAAUUAAGAAAUCUAACUUUUCACUAAAAGUUCAGCUUUUCAAAAACUUCAAAAACUUCAGAAACAGAGGCUUAUGAAGUUCUUCUAUUUUACUGUGGAAGGAAAUUGCUUCGAAAUUGGGUUGGAGAUGAAAAUUCGGCCAUAGUAAGUAUUCUUCAUUUCAAAAAGAUAUUCUUUUACCUUAACUCUUAUCCAUCGUGUUUGAUUGAGUGUUGUUGAUAUCAAAGUCAAAUGAAUUAAAUCCUAUUUUUUCCUAUUUGAAAUUAUACAAUUUGAAAAGCUAACCUUAAAUCAUAUUUCUUCCAGAUUUUAGCAUAUUUGGUUGGCGGCCAAGAGUUAAUAACUCCUGUACGUGCAUGGGAAAUUCUUGAAAAACCACUGCGUUUGCAUCAAGAUCCUUAAGUGGAACUUCUAUAAAUCUAUCAGACAAAGAAUCUACUGUCUGCCGAUAAUUUCGGUGAUUUGGAUGAUUUGGAUAAAUCUACGUGCACUGCUGCUUGGCAUUCCUUUUCGAACUCGAAGCGGUUGUCGACGGUUGCAUUCUGUGCUACGGUGCUACAGUGCUACCGUGCUACAGCUACAGCUACAGGUGAGUCUUGCUAGCUUUUUAUAAGCUUUUCGUUGUCAUUUUCCUUUCCUUUUUAUCGAUCGAUCGAUACUCCGUUUGUUGUUAUUUCGUUUCCAAGAGCCAUGUAAUUCGUGGUUUUGACGAUCUUCCUUUUCUUUGUUUUAGUAGCUACAUACGGUACGCACACUGCUGCCCGUUUUUUGGUUUUUUGCGAUGGCUGCUGGCUGUUCUUCUUCUUCACUAGCAUCAGAAUCGAUGGCAUGCGAAUACAAGUAAGCGUUGUUGUUCUUACGUGUUUGUCAUUUAAAUUAUUUGACAUGAUUUUCUGCUCAUUUGGAUGAAAUUGCACUAAAAACCAGCUGCUAGACCCCCGCCACGAACGAAAAAAUUUUACCUCUUCUCGUGGUUUUGUGCUAAAAGAAAACUGGAUAGGUUUUAUUGCAAUCAAAAUGGUAGAUUUUUCCUGCUGUUUAUUCUUGAUGCAAGAAAAUUUGAUUUUAAUAGGAAACCCGUUGAGAAUUAUGUAAUGGCAGCUGCCAACUUUUUAUGCCAAGUGAGUAUUUUUUGAUUAAAAUUUCACUUUUAAUGCGAUUUUCCCACUGAGAAUGAAUCAUUCUAGAAACCAUUUCAAAUGAUUUUAUGCUUACUUUGAUGGAAUUACACUAAAAACCGGUCGCUUACUACUAGGCCCCCGCCGCGAACUGCAAAUUUCUACCUCUUUUCGUGGUUUUGUAAUGAAAGGAAGCUGGAUUGUUACGGUAGAUUGUGCCUGCAUCAUUUUCGGAAUUGUAAAUGAAUCAUUCUAGAAACCAUUUAGGCACGUAAAUGAAUUUACGUGCCAGUGUGAUUCUGGCUAUGUAGGGCGCACAACCCAAAGAUUGGGGGAUAGGAUAAAACAGCAUGUUCCUUCCAACAUACGAAACAAAACUGCCCCUCAAAGAGAACAGCCUCCUCGAUCUUGUAGGUCUAGAAACACUGUUAAAACAAGUGAUUCUGCCAUUGGUCAACAUCUUUUAGACAACCCAGAUUGUGCAAAACUCUAUAAUGCCGACAUGUUUCGGAUAAUUGGCAGAGCCCGGUCGUCCUUCCAUCUAGCAGUUUUGGAGUCAAUCUACAUAAAAACGAAAAAGCCGCCAUUGUGUAGACAAAAGGAGUUCGUUUUCUCUCUUGGACUCCAUUGGUAAAUUUUCUUUAGGCUCGCGGCACUGAUUGGUCAACUAUACCGGUCUUGUGCUUGCGUUUUUCUGAUUGGCCUAUUUCGAUCCACAACUGGGUAUAUAUUUUUCCAUCGU